AGCGAACGCUGGCGGCAGGCCUAACACAUGCAAGUCGAACGAAGUCUUCGGACUUAGUGGCGGACGGGUGAGUAACACGUGGGAACGUACCUUUUGGUUCGGAACAACUCAGGGAAACUUGAGCUAAUACCGGAUGAGCCCUUAGGGGGAAAGAUUUAUCGCCGAAAGAGCGGCCCGCGUUAGAUUAGCUAGUUGGUGAGGUAAAGGCUCACCAAGGCUACGAUCUAUAGCUGGUCUGAGAGGAUGAUCAGCCACACUGGGACUGAGACACGGCCCAGACUCCUACGGGAGGCAGCAGUGGGGAAUCUUGCGCAAUGGGCGAAAGCCUGACGCAGCCAUGCCGCGUGAAUGAUGAAGGUCUUAGGAUUGUAAAAUUCUUUUACCAGGGACGAUAAUGACGGUACCUGGAGAAAAAGCCCCGGCUAACUUCGUGCCAGCCGCCGCCGCGGUAA
rnacentral:rRNA from 1 species